AGUGAACGCUGGCGGUAGGCCUAACACAUGCAAGUCGAACGGUAGCACAGUAAGAGCUUGCUCUUACGGGUGGCGGGUGGCGGACGGGUGAGGAAUACAGCGGAAUCUACUUUUUCGUGGGGGAUAACGUAGGGAAACUUACGCUAAUACCGCAUACGCCCUACGGGUGAAAGCAGGGGAUCUUCGGACCUUGCGCGAUUGAAUGAGACGAUGUCGGAUUCGCUCGUUGGCGGGGUAAAGGCCUACCAAGGCGACGAUCCGUAGCUGGUCUGAGAGGAUGGUCAGCCACCCUGGAACUGAGACACGGUCCAGACUCCUACGGGAGGCAGCAGUGGGGAAUAUUGGACAAUGGGCGCAAGCCUGAUCCAGCCAUACCGCGUGGGUGAAGAAGGACUUCGGGUUGUAAAGCCCUUUUGUUGGGAAAGAAAAGCAGCAGGUUAAUACCCCGCUGUUCUGACGGUACCCAAAGAAUAAGCACCGGCUAACUUCGUG
rnacentral:rRNA from 1 species